rnacentral:rRNA from 1 species
AUUGAACGCUGGCGGCGUGCCUAACACAUGCAAGUCGAGCGGUAACAGGUGUAGCAAUACAUGCUGACGAGCGGCGGACGGGUGAGUAACGCUUGGGAAUCUGCCUAUUAGUGGGGGACAACCCGGGGAAACUCGGGCUAAUACCGCAUACGCUCUACGGAGGAAAGCCGGGACCGCAAGGCCUGGCGCUAAUAGAUGAGCCCAAGUCGGAUUAGCUAGUUGGUAGGGUAANGGCCUACCAAGGCGACGAUCCGUAACUGGUCUGAGAGGACGACCAGUCACACCGGAACUGAGACACGGUCCGGACUCCUACGGGAGGCAGCAGUGGGGAAUAUUGGACAAUGGGCGAAAGCCUGAUCCAGCGACGCCGCGUGGGUGAAGAAGGCCUGCGGGUUGUAAAGCCCUUUCAGUGGGGAAGAAAAGCCUCGACCUAACACGUCGGGGUCUUGACGUAACCCAUAGAAGAAGCACCGGCUAACUCUGUGCCAGCAGCCGCGGU